UUCUUAUCUGGAGAGGUGGAGGGAUUGGCCCUAUGAAACCCAACAACUGACAUCUGUGAUGUAGUCGUGUUAAUUCCUGCAGACUUAUGUGUUGUGAAAGAUAGGAA
rnacentral:ncRNA from 2 species